UUGGAGUUGAUGAUUUUACCAAGAUUUAUAAAGAAACCGAGAAACUGAGUAUAAAUAAUCAGUCGAGUGACAACAGCGUGAAGAACAGUUGAGGAGGUAAAUUCCACGUAAAUGACAAAUUUUUUUUGUUUCGUCAUUGUCAAGUGAUGAAUGAAGAAGAAGAAUUGUCUGUUUAAUGUCAAGUUGAUUGUAAUACAUUGACAUUGUAAAUUGUGAAGAUAUCUUUUCUACCUUAAAGGUAGAAAAAUCAGACUCUGAUUUCACGUGGACUUUUUUUAUCCAGCUAUUCCAAAAAUUUUGAUUCUGUUGAUGAAUAACGAUCACGUCAUCUUGAUUAAGACGCACAGCAGUACCUGGUGUCAACAAUCCAUUAUUUUUACGCGCCAUUGUUGUUAAGGCUGUUGACCGGUUAAUCCUGAAUCAACCACAUUCAAGUCGCAUCAACAAUACAAAAAAAUACAAUGAAAUAGACUAGAUACUGACCUGGCUUCUAGAUGGAGACUUGUGACGAUGGCGAGACGAUUCUUGACUUGCGGAUGAUGAGGCCCGGUGUCGGUG